rnacentral:rRNA from 1 species
GACGAACGCUGGCGGCGUGCCUAAUACAUGCAAGUAGAACGCUGAAGGAGGAGCUUGCUUCUCUGGAUGAGUUGCGAACGGGUGAGUAACGCGUAGGUAACCUGCCUGGUAGCGGGGGAUAACUAUUGGAAACGAUAGCUAAUACCGCAUAAUAGUAGAUGUUGCAUGACAUUUUCUUAAAAGGUGCAAUUGCAUCACUACCAGAUGGACCUGCGUUGUAUUAGCUAGUUGGUGAGGUAACGGCUCACCAAGGCAACGAUACAUAGCCGACCUGAGAGGGGGAUCGGCCACACUGGGACUGAGACACGGCCCAGACUCCUACGGGAGGCAGCAGUAGGGAAUCUUCGGCAAUGGACGGAAGUCUGACCGAGCAACGCCGCGUGAGUGAAGAAGGGUUUCGGAUCGUAAAGCUCUGUUGUAAGAGAAGAACGAGUGUGAGAGUGGAAAGUUCACACUGUGACGGUAUCUUAACAGAAAGGGACGGCUAACUACGUG